rnacentral:pre_miRNA from 1 species
UGAUAUGUUUGAUAUUGGGUUGUUUAACUAGAAAUCAACUAAAUGUCAAACAUUCUUA